CCCCCCACCCUUUUUUUGAGACGGAGUUUCGCUCUUGUUGCCCAGGCUGGAGUGCAAUGGUGCAAUCUUGCCUCACCGCAACCUCUGCCUCCUGGGUUCAAGCGAUUCUCCUGCCUCAGCCUUCCAGGUGGCUGGGAUUACAGGAAUGUGCCACUACGCCCAGCUAAUUUUUGUAUUUUUAGUAGAGACAGGGUUUCGCCAUGUUUGCUAGGCUGGUCUCGAAUUCCUGACCUCAGGUGAUCCACCCGCCUCGGCCUCCCAAAGUGCUGGGAGCCGUAAGCCACUGUGCCCGGCCUACACUUUUUAAAAAUACAAAUACAGGUAUAAAGUGUGAAGCAUGGGUUACUAGAAUGACAUGAUGGGAGGGUGAUUAGGGAUCUGCUCCACCCUCAAGGGGGUGCUUGUCCUGUAUGAAAAAAGGCACAUCCUGGCCAGGCACGGUGGCUCACGCCUGUAAUCCCAGCUCUUUGGGAGGCCGAGGCGGGGGGAUCACCUGAGGUCUGGAGUUCAAGACCAGCCUGGCCAAUAUGGAGAAACCCUGCCUCUACUAAAAAUACAAAAAUUAGCUGGGUAUGAUGGUGUAUGCCUGUAGUCCCAGCUAGUACGGAGGCUGACGCAGGAGAAUCUCUUGAACCUGGGAGGCGGAGGUUGCAGUGAGCUGAGAUCGCGCUAUUGCACUCCAGCCUGGCGACAAAGUGAGACUCCGACAAGAAAGAGAGAGAGAGAGAGGGAGGGAGGGAGAGAGAGAGAGAGAGAGAGAGGGAGGGAGAGAGAGAAAGAAAGAAAGAAAGAAAAAGAGAAAGAAAGAAAAAAAGGCACAUACUAUAGAUUUUAAAGUUUCAUUUUGUAAGUCACACCAGGGCAGGAAGUAGAAUAGAGAUUUGAGCCCAAGUGUACCUGACAAGUCUCUCUGCCUGCACUCCUAGACAAGAUGAUCAGGACAGACCUCAUUCUUCUUUGGUUGUCCCCAGGCAGGAGGAAAUAAAUGUCACUUCCUAUGUUGGAAGAGCUGAGGGGUGGUGGUUUAGCAGUAAGAGAUGAAAAAUCUGAUUAAACGUCUCAGGCACACUAUGGAUCUCAGGGCUGAUGGAGGACAAGGAGGGGACAAGGGAGGACGCAGUCCAGGGUGCACCCCCUUGUUAGUGGCUGGGGUCAGUGGCUGACCAAGUAGGAGGGAAGGGGGUAAGAAAAGUAGCUUUCAGGGAGAAGAAGCUGUGCGUGAAUGUGGACAUGUUCAGCAUGAGAUGCCCAAGAAUCGUCCCCAGUGGUCAUUUGGAUAUGGGUCUGGAGCUGAAGGGUGAGACACAGUGGGUGUGUUUUUCAGUCAGUUAUGGGUUCUAAUCAGGAACAAGAAGUGUGUAAGAUCGUCCCAGAUGAGACGGUGAAGCCAGGACCUUCAGAAACGCAUUCGAGGGGCAAGAGGAAAAGGACAGUGAGGUGGAGCAGGGGGAACAGGACACUGAGGAGGGGCCGGAGAUGCAGCGAGUACAGAGCAAACAAGUGGCUGUAAAGGGGAGGAGAGCGCAGAAUCUGGGGAGGCCGCUGGAGAGUGAAGGAGAGGCAGGAGGGUGAAAAGUCCGAACUAGAGGGGUUAGGGGCAGAGUGAAGUUCUCGGGGCGUUGCCUGGAUGAGGCCCGGGAGGCUACAGACAGCGAGGAGGGGCGCCCGUCGGAGGGGACCGGAGGCCUGCCAAGAUGUGGGGACCUUAAGGAAGUUGCUGACCAACCACGUCCUCGGCGCAGCCAAGAGCCCGACCCGGGUCAAAGGCCCGAUGGCCCCUGCGGAACUGGGCCAGGACCCGCGCAGCCGCGUUCGCCCCCUCGAGGUCGUGAGCGCGCGUACCCAGAGCAACCGGCAUUGUCGCCCGAGGCAGGCGACUGGGGAUUGGCCCCGCCCCCGGCUUCCGCGCGGAUUGGCUGGGGCAGGGCGGGGCGGGGCGGCGCGGCUGCAGUAGGCUAGAGAGUCCGCACCUGCGCCGCGGCCGUGGGGAGAGAGGGUGCGUCCCGGCAGUCCCGCACGACGGGCCCCGCCUCCCCUGGUGACCCCACGCUCCGGCCUCGGGGCGAGUGGCGGUCGGCGCGCCGAGACCCUUGGGAGCCCCGCCCAGACGCCUGCUCCGCUUCCAGGCCACCCGGGCUCUCCAGCCGCGCUCGCUCAUAGGGAUCCUAGACGAGUUCGACAGCGAGGUCCCGCAGAGCAAGACCUGCCAGCAGAUCUCCGAGGAGGACUUGGAGAGGCAGGCGGACACCUACACUGGGCGCGCGCUGCGCCUCCUCUUCCGCAGCCCCGUCCGCAACCCGUCGCUGGCGGAGAGGGUGGUACAAUUGGAACAGCGCGGGAUCUCUUUUCUCCGGAUGCGGCCGCGGGGCAUGGGACCGGCUGGGCGGGAACUGUCACUACCCGGGUCUGCCGUCCCCUAGGAAAGAGCUGCGACGAUUGGAGCUUUGGGGGCCGGGGAUGGGGGUGGGGUGGAGAGGUCGCCGUCGGCCUAGCUGGGGCUGCAGGGUAGGAUCUAUCAGAAAGCCGAGGCUGCACAGCCUGGGGAGUGGAGCGGGCAGGCGUCUCACGCCCCGGACCUCCCCCUGCCCUGCCUCUCCUACUCUUGUUGCAGGCGAAGUUCUGUGUUGUGCAGGGGGAGCUGAACCAUUGCAACAGCAUGGGCGCCCUGGAGAUGCACGAGCAGGUGGAGCAGCUGAAGCAGAGCAUCCACCGCGUGCACCUCUACUCCCGGGGCGAGGAUCAACCUCUCCCGGUGCUGGGCCCUGGGCGGGGGUCUGAGCCCAGUGCAGCCAGGCCGAGGGCUAGGUGACCACCUCCACUCUUCCGGUUGGAUUUGCCCUCCUUGGAUCAGGUUUUAUCCAGAGCAGGAAGGGGCCUGGGCAGUCUGGACCUGGGAGGAGAGGCGCUGCUGCCCCUAGCUAGAUUCUUUAGUUAGGAGACUGACUUCAGCUCUGCUACUUCCUUCCUGGCUGUGUGAUCCUGAGCAAGUUGGGCCACCUUUCCGAGAGAGAGAGCCCUCACUGCUCACCUUGGUGAGUGUUUUGGAGUGGUGGAUGAAGGCCUGUAGGUAGGGCUGGCUCAAGCAACCAAGCAAACCUGAAUCAAUUAAAAAAAAAAAAAAAGGCCGGGUGCGGUGGCUCACGCCUGUAAUCCCAGCACUUUGGGACAAGGCCGAGGCGGGCGGAUCACAAGAUUAGGAGUUCGAGACCAGCCUGACCAACAUGGUGAAACCGCCGUCUCUACUAAAAAUACAAAAAUUAGCCAGGCGUGGCGGUGCGUGCCUGUAAUCCCAGCUACUUAGGAGCCUGAGGCAAGAAAAUUGCUUGAACCCAGGAGGCGGAGGUUGCAGUGAGCUGAGACAGCGCCACUGCACUCCAGCCUGGGCAACAGAGUGAGACUCCAUCUCAAAAAAAUAAAAAAAAAAAGUUGAGAGAGUCCUGGCACAGACCAACCAUGUCCUUGGUGUGGCCCUGUGGCUUGUCUCUGGCCCUGUGUUUGGCACUUAAAAAAAAAGAGGCACUUUUUAUUAAAGUAAACAUGUACAAAACUGGAGAUGACAGCAGACACCUCCAAGAACCUGUCGUCAGCCUCAGCAACUGUCCCCAUCUUGCCAAAUGUGUUUCACUCUCCAUAACCCUAAGCCUUUUUCUGAAGUAUUUGAAGGGAAAUCUCAGACAUCAUUGUACCUCUGACUACUUUAGAAUGCAUCUUAAUUAAAAAAAAAAAAAAAAAAAAAGGCCGAGCAUGGUGGUUCACACCUGUAAUCCUAGCACUUUGGGAGGCCGAGGCAGGUGGAUCACCUGAGGUCAGGAGUUCAAGACCAGCCUGGCCAACAUGGUGAAACCCUGUCUCAACUAAAAAUACAGAAAAAUUAGCUGGGUUUGCCUGUAAUUCCAGCUACUUCGGGAGGCUGAGGCAGAAGAAUUGCUUGCACCUGGGAGGUAGAGGUUGCAGUGAGCCAAGAUCGCACUACUGCACUCCAGCCUGGGUGACAAGAGAGAAACUCCAUCUCAAAAAAAAAAAAAAGGCAUUUGGCUGGGCACAGUAGCUCAUGCCUGUAAUCCCAGCACUUUGGGAAGCUGAGGUAAAAGAAUCUCUUGAGCCUAGGAGUUGGAGACCAGCCUGGGCAACAUAGCAAGACCCCAUCUCUACAAAAAAAUUUUUAAAAUAGCCAGGUGUGGUGGCACAUGCCUGUAGUCCUGGCUACUUGGGAGGCUGAGGCAGGAGGAUAGCUUGAGCCCAGGAGUUUGAGGUUAUGGUGAGCUAUGAUCACACCAGUGUGCUCCAGCGUGAGUGAUACAGAGUGAGACCCUGUCUCUAUAAAGUGACAACUACAAAAACAAACAUUUGCUGACAUAAUCACAAUGUCAUUGUUACACUUUACAUAAUUGACAACAGUUCUCUGACAUCAGCUGGUCAUAGUCACCUCUCCUAGAUGGGCCACAAAAGUCUUUCUAGACUUGGUUUGUCACCUCAGGACCCAGUGAGACUCACACAUUCAUUAUGUUUGGCUGUUAGGCCUCUUAGGUUCCUUUUAACUAGGGUGAUUGUAUAAUUAGUGUCUAAAUUGGGAACCUUGUGAGAAUGAAAUGAAAGGGGGCCAUAUAUGUGGCCACACAGGGGCAGCAAACGUACACUGGGAUGGACCUGGGUCCUUGGCCACUUCUGUUGAAGUCCCCUUUGAGGAGGGAUAGCCUGUCUGGUGUCGUCCUCUGGCAAGUCCCACUUCCCAGACACCAAGAAGACGAGAAGGAAGCCAAGACAGAAGAAACCAGAACCCAACCUCUUGCGGGACCGGUCGACCUCCCCAUGCCUGCCACCAACCCUGCUGCCACCUCUGCCGCUACCACCACCAUGGUCUCCGUGGUGACCUCAUCACUCCCUGGCACCUGGGGCUGCCUUGCUUGCCUAAAGCCAAGUAGGUGGAGCCCCUUGGUGCCUUCAACCCCCACCCAACGCCUUAACCAGAGCAAACCCCGUUUAUCUGCUUUGUCCAUCAAGACCCUGUCUGCAAAGAGGGGUCUGCUGCUUAAAAGCAGAGGGCUGAGAUCCACGGCUACAGGCCCAGGAGAGCCCCUGGGAUUAUUCUGAGCAGGGGGCACCCAGGACUGCCUGGAGUGGGGGAGGCUCCCACUGACCGACUUGCAGGGCAGUGGAGGGAAGGGACCAAAGACCGUAGGCAUAGUGUAGACCAGACAGGAUCCUGGGGCUCCCAAAGGACAGGUGGAAAACCAGGGGGCCCCUCCCACAUCUCCAGCCCCACUCCUGCCUCUCCCUGUGGGCAUGGCUCCCCAUGCUACCCUCUGCCUGCAGUGCACUGGGUUAGAGCCAGGGGUGUCUGGCCCCAGGGAGGUGCGGAGGCAUGCUUACCGGGGGAGCCAGGGCAAUGGAGCUUGGGCAGGCUGUUUCCAGCCACAUAUGAGAAAUGGAAGCCUCCAGGGUUGAGAACCAAGGGAGUCAGAUCAACCAGUCAGAUCAACCAUGUGGCUGCAAGACAGGGCAGAGAGGGGACGUCAGCCCCAGGCCCCUCCACACCUCAUGUGCAGUUCUACAGCACGGGCACAGGCACUGCCUACACAGAGCCAACCUCUGAGCCCAGACCCCUCCACUGUAAAAUGAGAAUAAGCACUCAGGAUGGUUGUGAGGAUUCACUAACAGACUGAGAAGAAAUGGUGACCUAGCCUGGCACAUGGGACACUCCCCAAGAUGCUCCUUUUUCAUUUCCCUCAAGCCCAGAGUAAACCCCUUCGACCUCCUUGGGUUUCGUGACAGGCCAUUCCAGUUUAAUUUCACUUCAGAUCUUGAAAUGUCCAAAUUCUUCACCUGGAGGAUAGAAAGGAAAUCUCAGGACAAGUUUGUUGGCCUCAUUUGAAGAAAAGUACCUUAUAGAAGAGCCAUAAGAAUGACGUGGCUUUCAUUCACUCAGCAGAUACAUUGGGACCAUCUCUUGUGCCCACCUUGAGCUUGGUUAGGGGUACAGGAGAUGGGGUCGGGGGCGCUGGGAACUAAGGAGGUCUGAACCCAGCCUUGGGGAUGGAGGACUGCCUGGAGGUGGAGGCCAGACCUGAAUGAGUCACACAGGCUAAGUGGGGAGUCAAGAGGUGCAGGCAGUUAGGCCACCACACCUGGCCGCUCAUCUUUUUUAGCAUUGAAUAAUAUUCCAUUGCCUGGAUAUGUCACAUUUUAUCAUUCACCCAAUGAAGGAUAUCCUGGUUGCUUCCAAGUUUUGCAAUUAUGAAUAAAGCAGUAUAAACAUC